rnacentral:misc_RNA from 1 species
GAUGAAGAACGUAGCGAAAUGCGAUAAGUAAUGCGAAUUGCAGAAUUUCCGUGAAUCAUCGAAUCUUUGAACGCACAUUGCGCCCCUUGGUAUUCCGAGGGGCAUGCCUGUUCGAGCGUCAUUAUAACCCCUCAAGCUCAGCUUGGUGUUGGGGCCUGCUGCACUGGCAGCCCUUAAAAUCAGUGGCGGCGCCAUCUGGCUCUAAGCGUAGUAAUUCUUCUCGCUAUGGAGUCAUGGUGGAUGCUUGCCAUCAACCCCCAAUUUUUCUAUGGUUGACCUCGGAUCAGGUAGGGAUACCCGCUGAACUUAAGCAUAUCAAUAAGCGGAGGA